CGCCCCUGAAUAUAGUGGUCAUACGUCAGACUCUGAUUUGCAUCAGAUCCUCUGAAGUCGCCGGUUCGAAUCCGGAAGGGGUGU